ensembl:misc_RNA 7SK 7SK RNA
GGAUGUGUGGGCGAUUUGGCUGCGACAUCUGUCAGCCCAUUGAUCGCCAGGGUUGAUUUGGCUGAUAUGGCUGGCUGCACGGGUGUCCCCUUCCUCCCUCACUGCUCCAUGUGCGUUCCUCUUGAAGCUGCCCGCUGGGUCAAAGAGGACGGCCUUCCCCUAAUAGAGACGGAUGGGUCUUCGGUCGAGGGUAUACGAGUAUCUGCGUUCCCCUGCUAGAACCUCCAAACAAGCUCUCAAGAAGGCAGCAGAUAGUCAAUGCUAUAAUCACAUGAUCUGGCAAUUGGGUUAACUUUGAAAAAUCCCUUUGUUAAGA